rnacentral:piRNA from 1 species
UGUCUAAAAAUAUUUCUGUGAGCCGGCGA